GCUUGCUGGGUGGAUUAGUGGCGAACGGGUGAGUAACACGUGAGUAACCUGCCCCUGACUCUGGGAUAAGCCCGGGAAACUGGGUCUAAUACCGGAUAUGACUUUUGACCGCAUGGUUGAGGGUGGAAAGAUUUAUCGGUUGGGGAUGGACUCGCGGCCUAUCAGCUUGUUGGUGAGGUAAUGGCUCACCAAGGCGACGACGGGUAGCCGGCCUGAGAGGGUGACCGGCCACACUGGGACUGAGACACGGCCCAGACUCCUACGGGAGGCAGCAGUGGGGAAUAUUGCACAAUGGGCGCAAGCCUGAUGCAGCGACGCCGCGUGAGGGAUGACGGCCUUCGGGUUGUAAACCUCUUUCAGUAGGGAAGAAGCGAGAGUGACGGUACCUGCAGAAGAAGCGCCGGCUAACUACGUGCCAGCAGCCGCGGUAAUACGUAGGGCGCAAGCGUUAUCCGGAUUUAUUGGGCGUAAAGAGCUCGUAGGCGGUUUGUCGCGUCUAUCGUGAAAGUCCGAGGCUCAACCUCGGAUCUGCGGUGGGUACGGGCAGACUAGAGUGAUGUAGGGGAGACUGGAAUUCCUGGUGUAGCGGUGAAAUGCGCAGAUAUCAGGAGGAACACCGAUGGCGAAGGCAGGUCUCUGGGCAUUUACUGACGCUGAGGAGCGAAAGCAUGGGGAGCGAACAGGAUUAGAUACCCUGGUAGUCCAUGCCGUAAACGUUGGGCACUAGGUGUGGGGGACAUUCC
rnacentral:rRNA from 1 species